CGAGAUGAGUUCUCACUAGACUUUUAAAGUCUCUGAAGGGCCGUUGAAGACUACAACGUUGAUAGGCAGGAUGUGGAAGUGGUGUGAGCCAUUAAGCUAACCUGUACUAAUUACCCGUGAGGCUUAACCAUACAACGCCAAACGCGUUU
rnacentral:rRNA from 1 species